rnacentral:rRNA from 1 species
UGGGGAAUUUUGGACAAUGGGCGAAAGCCUGAUCCAGCAAUGCCGCGUGUGUGAAGAAGGCCUUCGGGUUGUAAAGCACUUUUGUCCGGAAAGAAAUGGCUCUGGUUAAUACCUGGGGUCGAUGACGGUACCGGAAGAAUAAGGACCGGCUAACUACGUGCCAGCAGCCGCGGUAAUACGUAGGGUCCAAGCGUUAAUCGGAAUUACUGGGCGUAAAGCGUGCGCAGGCGGUUGUGCAAGACCGAUGUGAAAUCCCCGAGCUUAACUUGGGAAUUGCAUUGGUGACUGCACGGCUAGAGUGUGUCAGAGGGGGUAGAAUUCCACGUGUAGCAGUGAAAUGCGUAGAGAUGUGGAGGAAUACCGAUGGCGAAGGCAGCCCCCUGGGAUAACACUGACGCUCAUGCACGAAAGCGUGGGGAGCAAACAGGAUUAGAUACCCUGGUAGUCCACGCCCUAAACCGAUGUCAACUAGGUUGUUGGGGGAUUCAUUUCCUUAGUAACGUAGCUAACG